rnacentral:lncRNA from 1 species
AUGGAUAAUAACCACUUUGCAUGUGGAAGUACAUUUGUCCACUAAUGAAAGUGCAUUUCAGUUUACAGGAGUGAUUACCCAAAGGCUCCAGAUGUGAUCUAAUUGCAGUGAAUGGCCUAACAGGAAAUAAAAUGGCCAAAAUCUGCACAGAACAAUCAUACCCCUCACAAAGAUCCGCCUUCACUCCUGAACCAGCUAUUGAAUGGAUCGAGAAAGGGGAAAGUGAUCAGCCUCCCCGUGGACUAAUGGGCAGGAUGUCCCAUUUCAUCCUGAGGUUUGGAGGAAGAUCCACCAAAUGUAAAGCUUCAGAAUGCAGUGAUUCAGUUAUGAUAACAGAGGAGUCUGAAGACAUGGCAGAGCAAAUGGACCAACUGCGCAAGAGGAAUUUCAACAACAAUGCAAAUCACUGGCCUCUUGCAACACUGAAUAUGAACAACUGCAACAAUACAGAUGAGUAUGUGAGAAAGUUAAAUA